GACGAACCGUGCGAACGUUAUUCGGAAUCACUGGGCUUAAAGCGCGUGUAGGCGGGUGGGAACGUCGGCCGCUGAAAUCCCCCGGCUCAACCGGGGAAGGGCGCCGAAACGGCCCGCCUGGAGGGACGUAGGGGGAGCUGGAACUUCCGGUGGAGCGGUGAAAUGCGUUGAGAGUCGGAAGGAACGCCCGUGGCGAAAGCGAAGCUCCUGGACGUUUUCUGACGCUGACGACGCGAAAGCCAGGGGAGCGAACGG
rnacentral:rRNA from 1 species